GAACCAUGGUUAUUCCAAGAAGCCAAGCAAGGUCAGCAACGGCUCGUUGCAAAUCCCUGCUGUUUGUGUAAAGAAUGGCCAGAUGAUUUCUUACUGCUAGUACUGAUAUCAUGCAGAAUAUCCCAAUGAGGAGUGAUUGAAACACUGCGAUAUAUACACUGUAUUUGGUUGCCCUGGGACGCCCUAACCCAAGCUCAUUUGAGACUCGUACGCUUAUGGCAGCAUUGAUUCCUAUGAACAACAUUGCUUCCCAUCCAUCAAUAUUCAUGCAAAUAGAGAGGGAUCCAACAGCAAUAACUGCAUCCUUGAGUUGUCCGGUGAGAACAAUAAUACUCAUCAUGUACCAGAUUUCAAGGCAUAACAUAACAGCCGAGGCAACCGAGAGUCUAACAAAUGCCCAAAUCUCAUUCAAUGCUGACAAAGACCAUCCCGUCCAUCCAUCCUUACACCAAACUACCACGUAGACAAAUUGAGCUAUUGCAUUGGCCCAACCUGUAAUAUUAAAGACUAACGCAGCCCCAUUUAUACCCAAGUUGAACACAUAUAAGAACAACCAUAGCAGAAAGGCAUGGAGUAAAAGAACCACAAAACCAAUACAAG
rnacentral:misc_RNA from 1 species